UGAGAGGCAGGAGGUGCUUGGGCUGAGCUUGGGGCUGGGUGCCAGUGCCAGGCACCCUGGGUCUGGGCAGCACCCUCUUCCUGGCUUUCUGAUCUGGUGACGACCCCAGUGCUGUUAUCUUUUUUUUUUUUUUUUUUUUGAGAUAGCGUCUCACUCUAUAGCCCAGGCUGGAGUGCAAUGGCAAGAUCUCAGCUCAUUGCAACCUCCACCUCCCAGCUCAACCGAUCCUCCCUACCUCAGUCUCCUGAGUAGCUGGGACUACAGUUGUGUGUGAUUGUGCCCAGCUAAUUUUCGUAUUUUUUUGUAGAGACAGAGUUUUGCCAUAUUGCCCAGGCUGGUUUCGAACUCCUGGACUCAAGUGAUCCACCCGCCUCUGCCUCCCAAAGUGCUGGGAUUACAUACAGGUGUGAGCCACUGCACCCAGCCAGGCAGCUUUUUAUUAGACUUUCACUAGGUCCUUGUAGGUGGAACCUUAGUGGUCACAGUGGGCCAGGAGGGUUUGGCUAGUUUUGGCCUUUGUAGCCAUCUUUGAAUUACACUAUUAGUAGAUCAGUCUGGUCUCUAAAAGGAAAAAGACCACAGUCAUUAUUGGAGUUUGACUAUUCCGUUUAAAAUGUAGCUUUUAAGUGAGGUACAUCAUAAAGGAUCUACUGGCUGGGCACGGUGGCUCACGCCUGUAAGCCCAGCACUUUGGGAGGCCGAGACGGGCAGAUCACUUGAGGCCAGGAGUUUGAGACCAGCCUGGGCAACAUGGUGAAACCCCAUCUCUACUAAAAAUACAAAAAUUAGCUGGGCAUGGUGGUACGUGCCUGUAAUCCCAGCUACUCAGGAGGCUGAGGCAGGACAAUCACUUGAACCCGGGAGGCGGAGGUUUCAGUGAGCCAAGAUCACUCCAUUGCAUUCCAGCCUGAGUGACAGAGCAAGACUCUGUUUAAAAAAGACAACGAAAACCGAAAAACAAAGAACAGGUGGAGUCUACUGACUUGCAUGAGUCAGGUAAUUCAUUGACCGGGGCUGGUCAAAAAGAUGGGUUGAUCCUUACUGUGGAAGCUCUCAGCUGCCCUGCAAUACUUUGGAAAUAAACCAGGCAAAACACUGCUCAGUGUGCUGCACUCCAGACACAAACAGGAAGCUGCUCUUUCUCUGCUUCCCUCCCCCACAAUCAGACUCUUGUAACUCUCUUUUCUUCUUUUUCUAAAAUGAAUCUGGGAGUUUCCUUUAGCCCCUGUUUUGUGGUCGCCUCCCAUACACGUUUUAUCUGUCCGUGGCAUUUUCUUUUAUUUAUUGAAAGCACCGUGUCUUAGAUCAAGUCUUGAGAAACAGAACCUGAGACAAACAUGAAUGUGGUUAAUUGAACGAGCGCUGUGCAGGAAAAGCUGUACUGGAGAGAGGUAAGCGGACAGAUACGGGGAAGAGCUGGGCCCAGCAAAGAUGAGGUCUCAAGUAAAGCUUAUGUUUGGCUUAAUCCACCGGGGACGGUUCUGGAACAUAAGCCACACCGCAGAGCUGUGAUGUCACACCUUGAGGCGAGGGCCUUGCCUCCUGGUAUCAGUCAGUCCUGGCUGUGGGGAGCAAGGUGGCUCCACUCAGUGCAAGGCCAUCCUGGGCAAGGGGCAGCCCCCCUCACCGCAGUGGCCUGGCAGUGGGGCCCUGGGUCCGGCACAGCUCCUCCUUCGCACAGUGCUGUCUGCUCGCCCGGUGUCUUUCAUGCCGUUUCCCACCAACUUCCCUCCUCUGCCUCCUGCUCUGCAUUGCACAGUGCAGCGAGGUUGCCAAUUCCAUAGUUGUAGCGGCUGUGGGGGAAGGGGCAGGCGGGACAGGGGAGGCAGCCAUCUAACUUUUGUCCUGACUCACGCAGGCCUGGCCUGGUGUUCAGAACACAAAUGUGAAAAAUCAGACCGGGAAGAUCACGGGAGGCAGGAAGCAUCUGGUUUGCAGGUAGGGAAGUGACAGACCCCGCGGAUGCCAUGCACAAGGGUACACAGUGGAGUGGGGAUGAAAUCAGGGCGGAAGUGCAGGGCUCCUGAGCCCGGGGCUGGGGCUGUUUCCCCAACUGUCCGCUGCCUCUGCUGCCUCCUGAGAUCGUCUCCUUCUGCUGUCUGCCCGCUGGAACUUAUUUUUAGUUUUAAUUUUUUCGAGACAGGGUUUUAAUCUGUCACCUGGGCUGGAGUGUAGUGUCGUGAUCAGGGCUGACUGCAGCUUCAACCUCUCGGGCUCAAGUGAUCCUCCCACCUUAGUUUCCCAAACAACCAGGACUACAGAUGCAUGCCACCAAGCCUGCCUAAUUUAUUUUUUUAUUUUUCAAUUUUUAGUAGAAAUUUAAAAAUCCCCCAGUGUGGCUGAUUGGCUGACAGCCACACUGAAGCUUUAUUCCUGCCUCUCCUCACUCAGCAAUCCUCAUUCCUCAAAUACCUCUUCUCCCUGUUGUCCAAAUGUCCCCUGUACUUCAAGACCCAUAGGUCACAUCCUCCAAGAAAUCUUCCCAGUCCACACUUAUCCUUCUUUUAAAUCAGGGGUGCACACCCUGGUUACAUGUUACAAUCACCUAGGAAGCUUUAAAAAAUAAGAUUAGGGGUUAGGGAGAGGGGACCAGACCAGCUGAAUCAGACUCUCUGAAAAUAGGACCUGGGCAUUUGUAGUUUUUAAAGCUCCCAUGUCAUUCUAACAUAGCCAGGAUUGAGAAGUACCGUUCUAAGCAAAUAUUACAAAUAUGUCUUGCUUCCACACCCAUGGCUAUGUUUUGUUUGUUUGUUUGUUUUUGAGAAGGAGUCUCACUCUGUCACCCAGGCUGGAGUGCAGUGGCGUGAUCUCAGCUGACUGCAAUCUCCACCCAAGUUCAAGAGAUUCUUCUGCCUCAGCCUCCCACGUAGCUGGGACUACAGAGCAUACCAUAGCAGCUUGUGCCUGAGACCUCGACAAAUAUCUGGGGGAUAGAUUGGCUUGCAGAGCACAUUCUGCCUAUAGAAAUGAGUUAGCAAGUUUAGUCAGCCAUUGUAGAUUUCAAAGGGUGAGAAGCCUAGCCAGAGGUUAUAAUAUAGCAUGAUAUCCUCCUGGAAAUGGAAUUCUUCACUUGCGAUGCAUUUUAGGAGCCGCUGCUCUGUGUGAGCCACUCUGCUAGGUCCCAGCAUGCAUGAUAUUAUUCUACACAAAGAAUAAUAUCAGAGCUCACAGCCUAUGCAGGAAGUAAGCAAUUAGUUACAGCGUGAUGUGUACUGCAACCCAGGUAAGUACACAGUGUCAUGGAUGCUUCCAGGAGGAAGUCAUAGUCUGACCAGGAAGUUUGGGAAUACUUCUCAUAGGAAGCAACAAGCUACCUGGAAAGAUCUAGAAAGAUGAACAGUACCAGUGUAUUGAUUAGAAAUGCGUUCAGCAGCAAGUCAUAGAACACAUGACUAGUAAGGUUUAAACAAAUAGAAGGUUAUUUUCUCAUAUAAUAAGCCCAGAGGUAGGCACUAAAGGUGGUACAUUGGCUCAGUGGUGUUGGGACUAAGGUUUCUAAAAUUCUCUUGUCCUCUAAGACAUGGCUGCAGGUUGGCUGCAGCAGCUCCAGGCAUCGUGUCCACACUGAAAGGAGAAAGGGGGAGGCCAGCUAUGAUUUCCCCUUUUAUCAGGAAAGCAGAAACCUUCCUGUGGAUUUCUGCUUAUAUCCCACUAGCCAGAACUGGGUCAUGUGGCUAUCCUUAGCAGCAAGGGAGCCAGGAAAGAGAGGAUUUCACUUCUCCAGCUUCUUCUGUAUAUGGGAGGGCAGGUAGGUGAAGGGGGCUAGACUGAAUCCUGUGUGAGCCAACUAGCAGGCAGAACAUUUUGCAUAGAACUGCAUUUGCAAAAACAUGGAGCUGUGAAAGUGUGUGGAACAUUUACAGGCUAUUUAUUUAUUUAUUUAUUUAGAGACAGAUUCUUGCUUUGUCGCCCAGGCUAGAGUGCAGUGACACGAUCUUGGCUCACUGCAACCUCUGCUUCCUGGGUUCAAGCAAUUCUCCUGCCUCAGCAUCCCCAGUAGCUGGGAUUACAGGUGCCUGCCACCAUGCCUGGCUAAUUUUUGUAUUUUUAGUAGAGACGGGGUUUCACCAUGUUGGCCAGGCUGAUCUUGAACUCCUGACCUCAAGUGAUCCACCCGCCUCAGCCUCCCAAAGUGCUGGGAUUACAGGCGUGAGCCACCGCCCCCAGCCUACAAUCAAAAAAUUUAAUAUCAUCAAAUUACAGGGCAUGUGGCAGAGAAGUGUGGGCAGACAAGACACAGAGAAGUGGAGAUGAGACUCUUCAGACCCUUGAAUGACAUGUUGAAGAGCUUGGAAUUUUCUUAUAGAACGUAGGUAAUCAAUAGAGAGGUUUCAUCCGAGGAAUGAUAAAAAUCCAUUUGGGAAACAGAGGCGGUGUGGAGGAUGGGUCAAGAGAGAAUCAGAAGGCAGAUGAUUUACAGCAAUCCAGGCCAGAUAUCAGGAGGGCCUACUCUAAGAUUGCUUUUAGCAUAGCUACUGGGGAAGAGUCGGGCAGGAGAGCCCAGAGGCCCCGCAUGUGAUGGAAACAGCUGCCCAAACUGCAUCUUCAGGUAAAUAUGGCAGACCAUAGUUCCCCCUUCAUAAAGGCCUCUUGGGCGUGUUUCCUGGAAGGAAGAGGUGGGAGAUGUCGCCAUGCUCAGCACAUACGUGAGGUGUUGCAUUAGUCUCCUGGGGCUGCCGUAACAAAGUACCACAAAGCAGAUGGAAACAACAUGCAUUUUUCCCCCCACAGUUCUGGAAGGUGGAAGGCCAGGAUCAGGUGUCAGGAGGGUUGGUUUUUUCUGGGGGUUCUGAGAGAAUCUGAGGGGAAUUCCAUGGCUUUCUCCCAGCUUCUGGUAGUUGCUGGCAAUCCCUGGUGUUCCUGGGCCUGUAGACACGUCACCCCCAUCUCCGCCUCUGUUUUCAUGUGGCAUCCUCCCCGGUGCGUGUCUGUGUGCCCCAACCCCCUUGUCUUAUGAGGCCCACUCUAAUCCAACAGGACCUCGUCUUUACAUAAUCAGAUCUGCUAAGAUCCUGUUUCCAAAUAAGGCCAUGUUCACAGAUACCUAGGGUUAGGACUUGGACAUAUCUUUUGGGGGGACCCGAUUCAACUCACAACAGGUGUUUGAGGGCAGCUCUAGUUGAGAGUGUCAGAGAACCUCUGGCUUAAAGGAGGAACAGGGAGUCUAUCUGCUUGCAAUGUCUGAAGUAGAGUGGAGUGGCUUUACUGUCCUUGGUAGAGAGCAUGUCCUGCUUCAUUCUCAGGAAGGAUCUCACUGUGAGGUGGCUACGAUUACUCUCUGCCCACCCUGGUUGCAUCUGGCUUACAGAAGACAAUCCCAGAAGAAACAGUCUCCCCCAAAGUCCGCAGCAACCCUUCCACUAGGAGUCUACUCCUGCUUACACAAGGCCCAUGCUCACGCCUCACCCCACUGCUGUGUCCAGGGCUUCGUGGUAUCCUGAUGGGCUAGCGUGGGUCACACUCCCACCCUUUGAGCCAUGGGCCCACCUAGUCCAAAUCAUAACAACUGAACAGGAUGAUCACAGGUUGUGGAGAUGAAUCUGCCAAAGUGAUGCUAGGCAGUGCGCUUUCUUUUUUAUUUUUAAAAUAUUUUUUGCAUGUAUGUAUGUAUGUGAGACAGUCUCGCUCUGUCGUCCAGGCUGGAGUGCAGUGGCAAGAUCUCGGCUCACUGCAACCUCUGCCUCCUGGGUUCAAGCAGUUCUCCUGCCUCAGUCCCCCGAGCUGUGAUUACAGGCAUGUGCCACCACACCCGGGUAAUUUUUGUAUUUUUGUUAGAGAUGAGAAUUCACCAUGUUGGCCAUGCUGGUCUCCUGACUUCAAGUGAUCCGCCUGCCUCAGCCUCCCAAAGUGCUGGGAUUACAGGCGUGAGCCACCAUGUGCAGCCAGUAGUGCUCUUUCUUUACCUCUGCCCAAAUGAGGACAAGGAGAUGAAGCGUGGCUGAAAGCAUCAGCCUCUUCCCAGCUGUCCUGAUUGCAUGGGCCGCUUGUCCACUGGACAGGUACUUUUCCUGCCGGGCCUGCUCGUGUGGUUUGGACAGAUGCCCAACUGUCAGGCUCACUCUGUUCUGUUCAGGGAGCUGGCAUUUGCUCCAGUUUCCUCACCUGCCCACAGGGCAGGUGUGUGUCUGUGCGCCCCAACCCCCUUGUCUUAUGAGGCCCACUCUAAUCCAAAAGGACCUCAUCUUUACAUAAUCAGAUCUGCUACGAUACUAUUUCCAAAUAAGGCCAUGUUCACAGAUAUAUGAAUGGUAAGAGCCAGUGGGCCAGGUUGCCCAUGUGAGGGAGCCGGUCUCCGCACCUUGAAUUUCUCUACUGUUCUGGCCUCCGGGGCCAUGACAUUGAGGAUGGCUGGCCACUGGGCAUUGCUCCUUGCACCAUUUUCUCUGGGACUCCCUGAUACAUGUGAGGUUCUUCUUUCUCAGGCCUCUUUGAGGUGCAGGGACCCCCCCGCCCCCAUUGCCUAGUACUCCAAACUGGCCUAGGUCUACCUCUCCCAGCCCAAAUGUCCUGAGGUCCGUGACUGGAUUAUGACUUCAUAAACACCCUUCCCCCACCCUCACCACCACCACUUCCAGCAUCUGAGCUGGAAGACUGCCCGUGUCCUUCCAAUCCACUUCCCUUCCCUGUUGUUCAUCCUCACAUUUCUCUAACCACAGGCCAGCAGAGCUAGAAAAAACCCUAGGACAACUAGUCCAGCAACGGCGAAACAUUCAUUUUAACCUUAGUUCACAUGGUGCAGCCGCUACAGAAAACGGUAUGCGAGUUCCUCAAAAAAUGAAACAUAUGAUCCAGCAGUUUCACUUCUGGGUUUCUGGGUAUAUUCCCAAAAAAACUGAAAGCAGAAACUUAAAUAGCUGUUUGUACACCCACGCUUAUAGCAGCAUUAGUCACAAUAGCCAAAAGGUAGAAGAAGCCCAAGUGUAUAUCAACAGAUGCAUGGAGAAACAAAUGUGUAUACAUACAAUGGGUUAUUAUUCAGCUAUAAAAAAGGAAUGAGGCCAGGAUCAGUGGCUCACACCUGUUAUCCCAGCAUUUUGGGAGGCCAAGGUGGGCGGAUAACCUGAGGUCAGGAGUUCAAUACCGGCCUGGCCAACUUGGUGAAACCCCCGUCUCUACAAAAAUGCAAAAAUUAGCCGGGCAUGAUGGCAGGUACCUGUAAUUCCAGCUACUUGGGAGGCUGAGGCAGAAGAAUUGCUUGAACCACGGAGGCGGAGGUUGCAGUGAGCUGAGAUCGCACCAUUGCACUCCAGCCUGGUUGACAGAGCGAGACUCUGUCUCAAAAAAAAAAAAAAAAGGAAUGAAAUUCAGAUACAUGCUACAACAUGGAUCAACCUUGAAGACAUCAUACUAAGUAAAAUAAGCCAGUCACAAAAGGAUAAGCAGUAUAUGAUUCCACUUAUAUGAGGUACCUAAAGUAGUCUAAUUCAAAGACAGAAAGUAUAAUAGUGAUUACCACGGGUUGGAGGGAAGGAGAAGGGGAGUUAUUGUUUAAUCAUAUAGAGUUUGGGAAGAUGAAAAAGUCCUGGAGAUGGACAGUGGUGAUGGUUGUACAAUAAUGUGGAUGUACUUAAUGCCACUGAACGGCACACUUAAAAUGGUUAACAUGGUAAAUUUUAUGUUAUGCAUAUUUUACAACAAUAAAC
rnacentral:lncRNA from 1 species